AGCCGCCAUUAGAAAGUGAAGUCAAACAGGCAACAAUUUCAACGAUGACCUAUGGGUAAUCUCGAGUAGAAUGAUGGCAAGAAGUUGUCGUCAUCCAGGUCCAGGACUAUUCAUGGGUUUGAGACCUUAAACCGAUUUAGCAUUUAGUUAAAUUACUGCACAAUGUGGUAUGGUGCAACAUUGGAUGCCCAGUUUGGUAACGUAGUGCACAUUUCGUGCAGAGAGAGAAACUGACCAAUAAUGUCGCUGCCUUCCAAGCUUCAAGUUCAAAUCAUUGGACGCAUAUGCAGCGGUUUGAAGCCGAUAAGGAGAUUGAAUAGAAAGGAGAGGCGGCACAUAUAGUAAUUUCGGUUCACAAUCCGUGUGGAUGUAUGACACUUCUUUAUUGAAAUCGACGGUAGGGGAAUGUGUCGUUAAAGAGAAAACGAGGAUGUGAUUUCCCACUGGGUGAAUUUGAUAUUCAUGGGGGUAAACUCACCCAGUCCUACUUUUCCAAGAGCCCUCUUGAAGGUAGGGUUUACAGGGUCGAGUCCCAUGAUACCUGGGCUAGAGCGACAUGCUUGCCACGUUCCAUGCUUGAGCUAAAUGCUACAUUGCCACGUUCCUUAUAGGCUACCUGGGCUAGAGCGACAUGCUUGACAUAAGCACAUGGAAAAGAUCUGUGUAGGGGAGUACAGGAGCAUGGCUGACCGUCUGGACUAUUUCAGCGAAGCUCGGUCCAGACAAGAAUCGGCUUCCUAGCCAUCACUUCUCGACCAAAGCCUAAGCCCCUCUCAGACACACUCCUGCUUCACCAGCUCCCUGAAAUCAAUGCUACACUAUUUAUAUCAUGGGAUGCGUCAAAUCCAAGAAGAGCGAUCCGACCCAGUACGCCAACUCUGUGGAGAAGGUGGACGGCAAGCUUGGGAAGCGAUGGGGCGAGAAUGCGCUGCUGGUCCACUCGGAGACGGGGUCAGGGAAAGACUCUGCCCGGGUGGACCCCAUCCUGCUGGAGUAUGCCCAGCGGCUGUCGGAGGAGAUUGUGGCCCGGGCAGUGCAGCAGUGGCUGGAGGUGGACAGCCGCUACAGUGACAUCCCCUACAUUGAGUGUGACGUGCCAUGAGGGGGGGGCAGAGGCAGUGCAAGAGGCAUUUCUGUUCUGGGAUUCACCUUGACCCUUUGGGGAGAGGAGGACAAAUGGAUGCCCAGAAGACAGGAGACCGGACAGCACUCAGAUUCAGGGUGAAACAAAACACUACGAACAUGUACCAGCUGGAGAUGACAAGAUGUUGAUCCCAAUCUAUGGUCCAAAGCCAUUUUUCUGUUUAAUUAAUACAUACUUGGAUGUUGUAACUCAUCUGGUGACAUUUUGACCUUGACUAACAGACAAAGACCUUGGCUACUCCUCUCAUAUUCAAUCUAGACCAUGUGCUUCCCUCUAUCGUUAGCUAGAGGAUGAGAGUUGGGGUGUGUUUGGUUAAACCGGCUUGGGAGCCAAUAAAGCAGGAGAGUAUCAUUGAAUCCUGCUUUGAAAAUUACCGGUUCUGCCUUUCAGUAAAAGUAUACCGUUUUUUUUUUUUUGCUUGACGCGUGCCACAUCAUGGGGCCAAAUUUCAGGUCCUAUGUAGGAAAUUAUUAAUUGGCCCCUCAAGUGUUUUUCACUUGAAAUGUUUGCUGGGGUCAGCAGGUACACACCUCCCUCUCUAUCUGUCUUCUCAGGCAGAAGCUCCCAGGUUAGGGAUAUUGGAUAAUGGUGUCCCAGGGGGCCUGUGGUCCACAUCCACCAACAAAGGAAACUCAUUCUUCAAACUACCCAUGAAGUAGGUCCGGGACGAUACCAGUAUCGCGAUAUUCGUUAGUAUCGUGGCAAGGAAACAAAACAUGAAGCGAAUUUAACUUCAGCCCUGAUGUUGGAAACAAAAAUCAUUAUGUUGUUAUCCAGAGUCCCGUUCAUUUAUUUUCCAAGCUAUAGCACACAAUAUUUUACAUACAGCAGGUUUUUAAAGGACCAAAGAGCUUCGUGUUUUCAUUUUUGCCAUGGAAAGAAUAUCGCGAUACUGGUAUCGUCCUGGCCCUACCAUUAAGCAGGUCUGCCCACGAGCUGCAGCAUCCUAGGACCUGACUACGGUCACUUUGACAAAAUGAUGCUCGAGGAAUGUUUUACAGAGGUUCAGCGUCCUCCCAUUUUGUGAAUUUGAAUGCCAAUGACAAUAGGACAUUCCUGAGGGCUGGCUAGGUCCGCAUGCCAUGAGUAAAUCAGGACGGAUUCACACACUUUUACCGUGACUUUUCUUCUGGGCACAAAAAGUGUGCUGGGUUCACAAAUACCUUUUGUUUUGGCCAAAAUGUCUAGGGCCAAGCACCCUGGUUUUUACGUACUGUCUUCUAUCCAAUGAUGAACUACUGCCAUCUGCCCCAUAGAAUUUACAGCACAAAUAUGCAACUCUAAAAGGCCAUGCUAUUUUUAUUAAGAGCAAAUGGCUUCUUAAUAGUACGAUGCUAUUUUAACAGGCCAAAGACACACAUACUCACAAUAGAGAGUUGAGUUGUUUGGAAUAGGGGACCACAACUGCCAAAGUCCUUAAUGAAUGCUAAUACAAGCACAAUAUGUUUGAUGGGCUUUCUUAUGACGUUUAUUUGAUAGAAGGCGAUAUUAGUGAGUUUUAGUCAUAGCACGUCAGUUCCCACCCUACCACAAACGAUGUUCAAGAAGCUUUAAAAGGUGCAUUAGUCUAGGCUGGGCAACAUGGUACAUUUCCAGAGCGUUAAUUAGGGUGCUAUUGUAUACACCACAAAGAACAAGUGGACAUUAUUUGACUGGAAAAUCAAGUUUUGCUGAAGUUUGGAAUGUGUAUCUCAAGUGAGAAUUCAGCUGGCAGGGCAUUAGGUUUGCUCAGCAAAAAAUGUGGUGGUGUGCUUUAAAUGCGACACCAAACAUCCAUUAUAGUUAAAAGCAACAAAUACUGUUUAUAAUGACAUUUGCACUAAUCUGGGUUGAGAGAUGAAUCUCUUGAACCAUCCCAAAAAUUCUGUAAACAAAUUUAAAAGCCUGUCGAAUGCCUCCGUCGAAACAGUUUGCGCGUAUAUUACAACAACAUUUUGUGACGUUAUUCUUUGUUUUGUGUUUUUUUUUUUUUGUCUGUUCGCGCACACAAACAUUUUUCUUGAGGCAAGUUUAAGUUCGGUAGCCCAAGUAUAUGCCCCUUUGUCGGUGAUUGGUGCUACUCCUAGUAGCAGUGGGAACUAUAGACAGGAUUCUUGAAUGAGAGACGACAAAUUUUCAUGCACAUUUUCUCACUUGAGAAAUACUGCACCAAACAUCUUAGUUAGAUGUAAAAUUACUAAGACCUCCUCAGCAAAAAUGCCAACAUUAAUUACUAAUAAUUCUUGAUUUAUCUUCGAUUAAUUCUGACUCUUUUGAGGAAGUGUUAUUGGCUAAGUUGUUGCUACGGCAUCUCAAGAGGGUCAAACUAUAAUAUUGCUGCUGCUUUCUUGUUUUUCAAGCAAAGGUCUUUUAAGGGAGUUUGCUAGUAGCAAACCAAACCUAGUUUGUGGGCCCAUUUAGCGGUGACCCAAUUUUUUCCCCAUACUGAAUUCCUUAAUCUAAGAACUGGGAGGUGGAGGGUUUAGAAACAGAUCACUGUUAUCACUGCUUCAGCUAAAUGUUUUAACAACUUAUAGAUAAAGCUGUAAAAAACAAUACAUUCAAAAGUUGUUUUCCAUUAAGCUUGAUUUUGACUCCAAUAAAUUGGUUGAUAAAAGUAAUGUUUUAGUAUGCAGAAGACAGCUGGCACUACAGUAUAUACUGUAUACAAUGCAUUCGGAAACUAUUCAGACCCCUUGACUUUUUCCACAUUUUGUUACGUUACAGCCUUAUUCUAAAAUG